UUAGCCUCUUGUCUUUUUUCGCUAUUAACCACUGCAAAGCCAUUGUAUGUGCUGCAGGCACACAUUAAUGUUGUUUACACUGCAUUUCAGACUCCGGGUUAACACAAAUCAGAGAAGUGUGCUGUGUGGCUAACCUAUUUAAAGGAUUACCACUAUGGGUCAAAGGUUCACUGCACAGGAGCUGUAUGAGUGCUUGUCGCAGCAGGAGUACAGCUGAGCGUGGGCUGGAGUCAGUUGGCAGAGUUGAACUUUUAUCUGGAGCAGUGCAACACAGCUGUCUGCAUGGAGGCCAGGGUCAGGGGCUGGAUGUGACCCCACCAAGCUGCAACGACAAGGCUGUACCUUUCCACUCUCUUGGAACCCACUUUCCUGAUUUUGAUCUUCAUGUACACACAUUCCCGAUGGUUCUUGACAAUGGGAAAUAACAGCACAUAACAAUAGUGUCUCAGUUUAAAAAAAAAAAAAAGAUGUUUUCUUUUUAUUGAUUUUAUAAUUUUAGAAAAUCUCAGUGUUUUAGUGAUUCUGAAAAAAGCAGAAAAGACUGCACCUAAAGUACUCUAGAAGACUACCAUCCUACAAGUGACUCCAAAUACAGUAUGAAAACCUCUGUCAUGAGAAAAUAUCUACAAGCAAUUAAUGUGCCUCGCCUUAAAAGAAAAUCUGCAGAUCUCAUUAAAUAUGAAAUAGAAAAAACACAAUCUAAAUACUGAAAUUACAUUUUAUUUCAGUUGAAUGGGAAUUAGUAAACAAUAAAUAUAAUUUUUGUUAGAGAGCACUACAGAAUGCCAGGUGGAGGUAGGUUUGUUUAUAUGCGGUUCCACAAACUCAUAGAAAUUUGUCAGCUUUACUGGAGGGGGGAGGGUUCAGCAUAAACACAAUGCAAAUCCUCAGAGUGAAGGACGUAUAUUUUCACCAGGGAUAUCUACUUUUAUGUAUGUGUUGGCUACACAACUUCAAAAGCAUUCCAUUUUUUUUACACACUCUAGACUAUAAAGUUGCAUAUGCAGAACCUCCUUUCAGGUGUCACUUAACUUUCCAUAGGGCUUGAAAACAUAUUAAAAGUCUCAGGUUUAUUUGUUUCUAACAUGUUGUUAAUGUUUGUUUUGGUUUAUUAUAUACUAUAUACUCUGCACAAACAAGAGAAAGCAAAGGGAUAAGUGAUCAGUCUUUAUAUCGCUACCGAUUUUUCAAGAAACCGUUGUUAUAUUUGGUCCUGCCCAAGGACAAUAUUGAUCCACUUCAUUAACCUGUGUUCCACCCUGCUGGGUGUUAUUUUACCAAGAAGGCUUCUGCAUCAGAGGAAGUGAUAUAAAUUUACACAAGAGGGAAGAAGGAAUGUUAUCAUUUGACACAUCUCCAUUUAACAUCCAUGAAAGAUUUCAACCCCUUUUUAAGCAUUUACAGUAUUUUUCAUCAUCUGUGCGCAAUUAAAAUGCAGUUCUGAACAGGAAGAUGUCGCCCUGUUUCUUGAUCAGAUUUAAAAGUGUAAGUGAAUAGAAUAGUUUUAUCAUCUGGUGAGAUAUAACCUUUGCAUAUAUAUAUUUAUUAAUGCAUUAUUGCAAACAACCUAUGGGCAUUUUCAUCAGAAAACUCAUCACUAAAACCAUGUUUUGGGCCUUUUAAAUCUAAAUUCUGUCUGUUUAGAUAUUUAAAAUAGGGACUUCUGUGUAGGGUUGUGCAAGGCAACGUCUAAAACAGUUUUGAAACUAAAACCUUUUUAGUUUACUUGUGUCUUCAAAAAGUAUGUACAACCCUAGAGAGCACCCAUUUUUUAAUUAUUUAAUAGAUGCAGUAUUUAGAUCAAGUGUGUCAAGUGAACUCUAAACCCAGGAUCAACAGAUCCUUCCUUGUAGUGUUAAUUUAAAGAAUGCUUUAAAAAAAAUGUUCAGAAUUUCUGAUUAGAUAUCCAUAACACAAAAAGAAGCAUGUGUAGCAGUUGUAGUAAAUUCUAGAGAAUGAAAACUACAGUUAAUUUAUUCAAAGUAUGUCAGUUUACCUUAUUGUUUGGAGCAAUAUGUUUUUAAUAAAUAUUCACACUUGUAUAAGCCAUACAAUGUAUCUGUUUACCCUAUGAAACAGU